GUGAUAUUCCUCUGUAUGCCUGCUAUAGCUUGCUGCACCAUGGCUACUACCUCAGUGGAUAGUUCUGGUAGCUAUGAAAAGGGGCAGGUGGAGUUGAGCCAGAGUUCCAGGAGCUCUGUUUUUGACUACUCAGAAGACACCUUUGAGUCCUUCAGCGAGGAGGAAGCAGCCUGCUGCCAGCAUGAGAGCAAACCACCUGAACCGUGUUGUUCUGUAGAGGAUGUAGAGUCUUCUGCCGUGUCGGAUGGGUUGGAAAGCAUGUCAUAUCUGGCAGGCCAAAAUCACACAGAUGAGCAGUCUGAAGUAGUUGGUUCUGUGGCUGCAGAAAGAUACUUCAUGAGAAAAUGGAUGGAUGUUCUAAAAAAUAAGGAAGCUGUCAUUAAGCAAGGCAACUCUGUCCUCAAAACUCAUUCUGUAAUUGACACUUGCUUUGUUGAUGUGUGGCUAACAGAAGUUACUGAGUUACCAGAUGAAGAACUGGAUGCUCUCCGGACCUUUUGCACCGAUAAGAUCAGAAGGAUGCAUCAGGGGCUGAUCUCUAAGCAGGCAAGUGGUGUCAGGUCAAGGAAGCUGCAGCAUGGAUUCAUGUCAAAGAAAUCAGAGACAAGUGACUUGAACUGCAUGGUUCCUGGUCAGUUAAUGAAUAGAAUCCGCCUGAAGAACAUCAGGGAGACCAUUAAUCAGGUGACAGAAGCUCAAGUGCACCAAUCUUCACAGUGCCCUGACUGUAAGAAGAAGAAGGCAGAGCUAGCCGAGAUCGCCUUUCUCAGACAAAAGAAGGCACUAGUGGAAAGAGCUUUACUCCAGGAAAAAUUGGAAGAACAAAUUUAUUCCAGAGAUGUGCUUACCCUUAUAGGAGAAACACUCAGAAGCUUUCCCAAACUUUCAGAGGAUCCCAGGAACUUAUGGCAAAGGAUAAAAGACAAAGCUGAAGGAAGGACUGAGCUCUGUGAACGUCCAAAAUCUUCAGCUUGGUUGGAAGGAUGAGGGCCAGAAAUUACAGCAUGGACUAGGGACAGCGUUUGUCAAAUCUGGGAGUUGUAGCUUGAAAUCACAACCCAGACAGGGGAGAAGUUGUGUGAAAUGCAGCUGAGAGGAGUUAAUGCACCAGAGAGCAGUGGCUGGAAGGGGACGCGGGGCACGCGGGGGCGCGGAGGGGCACCCCAGGGUGAGCUGCACCCACCAGCUCAGACAAAGGCAGGAAGGCUGCUGCCUGAUCCCAUAUUGUCCCACUGGCUGAGAAUGAAGUUUCUGCAGCGCCUUUUUCUGAUCUGCCUGUCAUUCAUUAAUAGAUGGCAAAGCUCCCGACAGGAGCAGAGGUAAAACAAAAGCUGUCCCUCGGUGCCGAAUUGCUGCUCGCUGCCAGGACUGCAGCAGGAAGAAUCAUGCGACUUUCAGUAUCUUUGUUUCUCUAAUCAUCAGUUGCACAUUCAAAAAGCCCAUGAUGGAUUCAGGUUAUUUAGAGGCCAAAACUCAAACGUGGGCUCCUAACUGUGGUUACGGAAAGACGUCUCUAUCUUGUGAAGAAGUGGGCCUGACUUUUAUAGGUGCUAAGCAACUGUUCUUCUGCAUUCCCAUCUGCCUUUACGUCACAUCCCACCCUCUGCCACCUUCCUCGGUGUCCACGCUUUUUAAAAGGCAUUAACUUGGGAAAGUAGGCUGCCUUGUUCUUUGCUUGCAGGAGCAUCCUGCCCAAAAGAAGCCGGUCGUGUGAUACCAGACAAAAGGAAAGCAGUAGCCAGUAGGAGACUGGCAGCAGCUGCCCCCCACUGACGUUGCCUGGAAGCCCAGCUGGGAGGUGUUGUGGCCCGGCUCUUCUGCAGGACCACAGGAAAAGGGAGUUUGGUCAACUCCACCUCUCCGUUUCUUUAUCUUGCUUCUACCCACCCAUCUAUUUGGAAAUGAGGGUUUAACGUUUUGUCUUAAUUAACAGAGGAGGAGCUUGUUGUAUCUCUGGCACAGUCUCUAGAGGAAGGAGCUGUGCACUGAUGGGUUUAGUGGUUGUUUUGUUGGCACCAGCUUGAGAGGAGCCCGGAGUUAGGGUACCGAGAAUGCUCAAACCACUUUAAUUCUCCUCUGCUUCUGGAGAGCAGCUGUGUGUUUGUAUUCUGGUGUUCCUUGCAUCAUUUCUUUUGACGACUGAACUAGCUGUACCUGCUAUUUGCUUCUACCCACAGCAACCCAUGCCACCCUCCCAGCACAUUUUUUCUUAUGCUUCGGGGGCAGUCUGCAAACAGAAACUCUGUGUUUUCUGCUUCCUGUGCAUCCGUCUCUGUCCUCCCUUCCCAUGCCAAGCAAUCUGUAUGCCUUCCCUUAGCACUUGACUAAUUAUCGGUUAACUCUUCCAUUCCUGAGUUUUCCCCAAGCUUUUUGCUUCAGCUCUGCUUUUCAAUUGCAAUUGGUCAGUAACAGUUUGCCAAACGUAACGCUGUCAGCUGUCCGUGUCUCCAGCUCUUUUGGUCUUUCCUUCUAAGGUAUUAGUGCUUCUAGUCCUGAAGGGUGGAACUGAAAGCUGACAGUGGUAACGUUUGUCAACAUUUUUUUCCCCCUCUAUUAAAAUUUAUGCACGUUUGGCCAAGUUACACACACUGGCACAGUGCAGACAGUGAGUUGUUCUAAAAAGUUAUUGUUAGCCUGUGAGGAUCAAUAGGCUGGUGUCCUACAACUUAUGGCAAACAGCCUCCUUCCAAGGGCAGCUGGUUUAGUCGCUCUGAAUUGACCGUAGAGGAACCAGCUCUCUCUGUGGGCAGCAACAGGAAGGUCAGGAAACUCGGUUUUCUAGAGCAACGUAGAGGCCUUGUGGACAGCCUGCCCUUGUGGACAGCUUUCAUCUGCACUGCUUAUUCUCUUCAUAACCACGUCGCUGAGUCUCACUGUUAACACAGUUAAAUGCAGUCGUGGAAAACUUGAUUUAAUUUCCGCCUUUACUACUGAGAUCCUAAUGCCAAGUUGCUGAAAAUGAGAUCUUUGUGAAGUGUUCAUUAGCUGCAUGUUCCCCAUUUUCCGGAUACUCAAUUUAAGGUGAUAUCUGAUUUGCAGCAGAUCUGCAUACUUAGGUCUUCAGCUGGAACUGAGGUUUCUGCAUUUAAAGCACCGUAUAAUGUUAAGCGUGCUACAAAAAGAAUGCUCUCAUUUUCCAAAUUGGAUAUCCACAUUAAUGAAUGCUUUUACAACACAGAAACUUUCUAAUCGCUUUUUCAACAGUGUAUCCAGAUAAAAUGGAAGCGUUGGGACAAUAAAUUAAUCAAAAAUGUAUUACUAAUGCGUACCUUUAGAAAAGCCAUGAAUACAUUUAUCAUGUGCUCUCAGAGUAGAGUUGGAGUUUGGUGAAACAAAGUGGGUUAAACUAAGCAGAGAUGAAAUGAUCUUGUUCUAUAAUAAAGCACUCAAUCAGGGAGCUGUUCAACUGUUUCUGAGUAACCCCCUGUGGAGGCAAGCCAUCAGAAAUGGGCUACGCGCUAAACAACAAGAAGAAAACAAAUUCUGAAAAGCUGCUCAUUAACGGAGAAUCAUCCACCCUUCACACUGAACGAGGCAAGGGUCCCCUGGAAAAAAUAAUGUGGUCAUGUAAGUGAAGGCAGCAGCGCCCUGCAUAACGCAAGAGAUUCAAAGGAAGGUUGCGUUGGCAAUUUUAAUUCUGCAAUUUCUUAACUUUCGUCUAUUUGACUUAGCAUUCUCUAUAAUGUUCUUUUAACUUGGAAUAUUGUGUGUAAUAUAUAUAAAUGUUGUUUUUAAAUAAAACUGGUUUGUCUCCAAGUCAUGUCAUUUUCA